rnacentral:lncRNA from 1 species
UUGGUGUUCUGUGCCGCUGUAUAAAGAGUCUGACCAUCCUAAGACCACCAUGUUGUGAGGAGCCCAAGCCACAUGGAGAGGUCACAUAGAUGUUCCAGUGACAGCCCCAAAUGAGGGUCUGCUGACAACCAGCAUCAGCCACCACACACACAGAUGAUAACAUCUCCAGGACUCUAGUUCCCAGAUGCCUGCAUAUCCCCAGGCUCUGAAUCCUCCAGCGGAGGCCCAGACAUUGUGGAGUACAUGCAACCCAUGCCAGCCCUGUCAUGUCCUGUCUGAAUUCCUCACCCACAGUAGUCAGAGCAUAUAAAAUGGUUGUUCUAUGCCACUACAUUUUGGAGUUGUUGGUUUCCCAGCAGCACAAAAUGGAACAGAGGCUUAAGUUUACUCUUACCCUAGAAUUCCAGGAGAUCCUACUGUAUUCUCUUUUAGUCUUCUGUAGAUUUUGAGGAUUUCUACUAGGUUGUGAGGAUUUCUAUCACUUGCUGUCAAACCACUGAAAUUCAUAUUAAAUUGGUAUUCAAAAUGGGGUUGCAGAGAAAAAGUGUCAGAGUGGAUUGGGACCAGCAAGAAGUUAUUGUCCUGGGAUAGAGAGCUGCAAUGCACGUUUAACGAUAGCAGUAUGUCUUGUUCCUUGGGAAUCAGAUGUCUUACUUCAUCAGAUAGCUAGACUUUAGAGGAAUUCAUCAUUUUAAAUGUCAGAAUAUCAGAUUGAGUUAUCGAUUCCUUAUGGCCUUCAGUAAAGGUCAGAGAAGUGGCAAGCCUCAGCCGACGCUGCUCCAUGGAAGUCACCAGAAGAGAAUAGAGGACAGCCCACUGACGCAGAGAAUCAGAGCACAGCAUCCACUAUUAGUUUGGACAAACUGUGGUGGCCACCAGGGGUGUAUGUGUGUGAGAGAGAGAGAGAUUAUGAACUGAUUGAAAAACUGAAGAUUACCAGCAACUGGAAUGAGGAUAUAUAGGAAGGAGGAGCCAGAAAUGUGAGCAAGCCCUUCAGAAUGUACCUUCUCCACCACCAAGUGAAAAUGAAGAUUCCUCCCCUUGUAAUACUCGGUUGGCUGUGAUGCAACAUUUUGGCAAGACUCCAAAGCAGAUUUGCGAAGAAAUGCACCCUGAAACCCAUGCCAAUACUCCAAUCUAUAAUAUCCUGCUCAUGCUCUGAGGUCAUUAAGGAAAAAAAUCAUGAAAAUAGGUGGAGCCCCAGAAUUUCCUCUAAAAAUCAGAAGACUCACAGAGAGAAUCUCCGAGAUGCUCUGGAAGAACAAUGGCCAAGCAAAAUUCUCCCGGAGGACAGAGUCUGUGGCAGUCUUUCUGGGUGACCAGGUAAUUUACUUUGUUAUCAAAUAGAUUAAUCAUCAAAUUAA